UUGACCUCGGAUCAGAUAGA
rnacentral:rRNA from 1 species